rnacentral:rRNA from 1 species
CCUACGGGAGGCAGCAGUGAGGAAUAUUGGUCAAUGGGCUUACGCCUGAACCAGCCAAGUCGCGUGAGGGAAGACUGCCCUAUGGGUUGUAAACCUCUUUUGUCAGGGAACAAAGGCGGGGACUAGUCCCCGGAUGAGGGUACCUGAAGAAAAAGCAUCGGCUAACUCCGUGCCAGCAGCCGCGGUAAUACGGAGGAUGCGAGCGUUAUCCGGAUUUAUGGGGUUUAAAGGGUGCGCAGGCGGCCUGUUAAGUCAGCGGUACAAGCCCGGGGCUCAACCCCGGCGAGCCGUUGAAACUGGCGGGCUGGAGUUGGAGAGAAGUACGCGGAAUGCGCGGUGUAGCGGUGAAAUGCUUAGAUAUCGCGCAGAACCCCGAUUGCGAAGGCAGCGUACCGGCUCCACACUGACGCUGAGGCACGAAAGCGUGGGUAUCGAACAGGAUUAGAUACCCCAGUAGUC